CAGCCGCCGCGGUAAUACAGAGGGUGCGAGCGUUAAUCGGAUUUACUGGGCGUAAAGCGUGCGUAGGCGGCUUCUUAAGUCGGAUGUGAAAUCCCUGAGCUUAACUUAGGAAUUGCAUUCGAUACUGGGAAGCUAGAGUAUGGGAGAGGAUGGUAGAAUUCCAGGUGUAGCGGUGAAAUGCGUAGAGAUCUGGAGGAAUACCGAUGGCGAAGGCAGCCAUCUGGCCUAAUACUGACGCUGAGAUACGAAAGCAUGGGGAGCAAACAGGAUUAGAUACCCCCGUAGUCCCUGUCUCUUAUAA
rnacentral:rRNA from 1 species